rnacentral:rRNA from 1 species
UACGGAGGGUGCAAGCGUUGUUCGGAAUUACUGGGCGUAAAGCGUGCGCAGGCGGUUUUGUAAGCCAGAUGUGAAAUCCCCGGGCUUAACCUGGGAAUGGCAUUUGGGACUGCAAGGCUUGAGUGCGGCAGAGGAGACUGGAAUUCCUGGUGUAGCAGUGAAAUGCGUAGAUAUCAGGAGGAACACCGAUGGCGAAGGCAGGUCUCUGGGCUGACACUGACGCUCAUGCACGAAAGCGUGGGGAGCAAACAGG